AACGCCAUUCUCUCAUUCUCCCAUGGCAAGCUAAUUUUCUUUCAUUUUCUUUCCUUGUUUUCUUUUCAUUUCUUUUCUCUUCUUGCUUCAUUCUUCUCCCAACUUCUUGUGCACCAAAGUUACAACUUCUAACCCCAAUUUCCAGCACAUAUAAACUCUAGGAGAAGAAGAAAGAAAAAGAGAGAAAAGAAAAAAAAGCUUGGUUUUGGUGAUUCAAGCAAGGAACGCAAAGAUUGGCUUGAUUGGAGAAAAAUUGAUAACAUGUAAGCCAAUAAACCCAUGGGAACAUGAAGGACUCAAAGUGGAAAAGGAAAGCGGAAUGCAAAGAUAAAGUUAGAGUAUACUGGGGGCAUGUCGGAGUAAAUAACGAGUGACCGGCUAGUGAAAAUAGUUAAAGACACCUCCGAUCAAAUAGCGAUGUAAUAUCCUGCUAUAGUAAGGUGUGUGGACUUGUAUUUCAAACUUGUUUUUGGGAAUAUGAAAGAUUCUAUCCAACUUGUCUUAGAAAAUGUACUUUGGGAACAAGCUUUUAGUAAAAUGAUUUUAUAUUGUGAAAAUAUGUUAUACAAUGGUUAUGUGUUAUCGCAAUAUGAUAAAAUGCAUGAUAUGCAUUGGAUGCUUAUUUGCAUGUUGAUGUGGAUCCGGCUAUGUGUGAGUAGGAGUGCACAUAAGUCGUUACUGACCCGGCUAUGUGUGAGUGGGAGUGCACAUAAGUCAUUGCUGACCCGGCCAUAUGCAAGUGGGAGUACGCAUAAGCUGUUGCAUAUGAGAUGAUGAUGAUGGGAGGGUGUAUGUGAUGAUUGAUAUAUAUAUAUAUACAUAUAUGGUAUAUGGUUGUAAAUGCAAAUAUGUGAGCAUUUGAUUUGUUGAAAUUUGAGAGUUUACAUGUGUUACAUGUUGCUAUUGUUAUUCUAGCAGGAUGGCUUGUUUUAAAGGAAAAUGAGACUUUUUUCUUGAUAUUCUGACUCUCGCUGCAACGAGAUUCAUUCUCGCUGCAGCGAGAAACUCUCGGGUUUGAGGGCCUUCACCAGACCUGGUUCUCAUUGCAGUGAGAAACUUUCUAUCUAUUUUGGCUAACUUGUGGGUUUUGCUAUAUUUUUCGAUUCUUUGGUACCAUAGUUGAGUAUGGAUCUUUUAAGUGAUUUACUCAUGAGGGGUUUACAUGAGGGGUUCUACUAAGAACUAGAACAAAUUGCAUUGUUUUGAGAAAAUGAGUAUAUCAUUAUUUCGAUAAACAUUCUUUAUGGUAUGUUUGCUCUCUUCCUAUGUUCACUCACUGAGUUUAUACUCAUGUUUGUAACUCCAUGUUUUCAGAUUCAUUGGUGGUUGAUACGUAGAUUGAGGUGUCUGCGUACCUCCAUCCCUUGGGUAGGUAUCUUGACACUCAGUAGUCAUAUCUUCCCAUCCAGAGUCACUC
rnacentral:lncRNA from 1 species